GACGAACGCUGGCGGCGUGCUUAACACAUGCAAGUCGAACGGAAAGGCCCUGCUUUUGUGGGGUGCUCGAGUGGCGAACGGGUGAGUAACACGUGAGUAACCUGCCCUUGACUUUGGGAUAACUUCAGGAAACUGGGGCUAAUACCGGAUAGGAGCUCCUGCUGCAUGGUGGGGGUUGGAAAGUUUCGGCGGUUGGGGAUGGACUCGCGGCUUAUCGGCUUGUUGGUGGGGUUGUGGCUUACCAAGGCUUUGACGGGUAGCCGGCCUGAGAGGGUGACCGGCCACAUUGGGACUGAGAUACGGCCCAGACUCCUACGGGAGGCAGCAGUGGGGAAUAUUACACAAUGGGCGGAAGCCUGAUGCAGCAACGCCGCGUGCGGGAUGACGGCCUUCGGGUUGUAAACCGCUUUCGCCUGUGACGAAGCGUGAGUGACGGUAAUGGGUAAAGAAGCACCGGCUAACUACGUG
rnacentral:rRNA from 1 species